rnacentral:rRNA from 1 species
UGGGGGAUAUUGCACAAUGGGGGGAAACCCUGAUGCAGCGACGCCGCGUGUGGGAAGACGGUCCUCUGGAUUGUAAACCACUGUCCUCAGGGACGAACAAGGACGGUACCUGAGGAGGAAGCUCCGGCUAACUACGUGCCAGCAGCCGCGGUAAUACGUAGGGAGCAAGCGUUGUCCGGAAUUACUGGGUGUAAAGGGAGCGUAGGCGGGACCGCAAGUUGGAUGUGAAAUCUACCGGCUCAACUGGUAGCUGCAUUCAAAACUGCGAUUCUUGAGUGAAGUAGAGGCAGGCGGAAUUCCUAGUGUAGCGGUGAAAUGCGUAGAUAUUAGGAGGAACACCAGUGGCGAAGGCGGCCUGCUGGGCUUUUACUGACGCUGAGG